GAUGAACGCUGGCGGCGUGCUUAACACAUGCAAGUCGAACGAGAGAAGAUCGGUGCUUGCACUGAUCCGAUCGAGUGGCGGACGGGUGAGUAACGCGUGGGUAACCUGCCUCAUACAGGGGAAUAACAGUUGGAAACGGCUGCUAAAACCGCAUAAACGCACAGUAUCGCAUGAUACAGUGUGAAAAACUCCGGUGGUAUGAGAUGGACCCGCGUCUGAUUAGCUAGUUGGUGAGGUAACGGCCCACCAAGGCAACGAUCAGUAGCCGGCCUGGGAGGGUGAACGGCCACAUUGGGACUGAGACACGGCCCAAACUCCUACGGGAGGCAGCAGUGGGGAAUAUUGCACAAUGGGGGAAACCCUGAUGCAGCGACGCCGCGUGAGUGAUGAAGUAUUUCGGUAUGUAAAGCUCUAUCAGCAGGGAAGAUAAUGACGGUACCUGACUAAGAAGCACCGGCUAAAUACGUGCCAGCAGCCGCCGUAA
rnacentral:rRNA from 1 species